rnacentral:rRNA from 1 species
GAUGAACGCUAGCUACAGGCUUAACACAUGCAAGUCGAGGGGAAACGGCAUUAAGUGCUUGCACUUUUUGGACGUCGACCGGCGCACGGGUGAGUAACGCGUAUCCAACCUUCCCAUGACUAAGGGAUAACCUGCCGAACGGCAGACUAAUACCUUAUGGUCUUCACUGACGGCAUCAGAUGUGAAGUAAAGAUUUAUCGGUUAUGGAUGGGGAUGCGUCUGAUUAGCUUGUUGGCGGGGUAACGGCCCACCAAGGCAACGAUCAGUAGGGGUUCUGAGAGGAAGGUCCCCCACAUUGGAACUGAGACACGGUCCAAACUCCUACGGGAGGAAGCAGUGAGGAAUAUUGGUCAAUGGGCGAGAGCCUGAACCAGCCAAGUAGCGUGCAGGAUGACGGCCCUAUGGGUUGUAAACUGCUUUUGUAUGGGGAUAAAGUCAAUCACGUGUGAUUGUUUGCAGGUACCAUACGAAUAAGGACCGGCUAAUUCCGUG